rnacentral:rRNA from 1 species
UACAGAGGUCUCAAGCGUUGUUCGGAUUCAUUGGGCGUAAAGGGUGCGUAGGUGGCGCGUUAAGUCAGGUGUGAAAUUUCGGAGCUUAACUCCGAAACUGCAUUUGAUACUGGCGUGCUUGAGGACUGGAGAGGAGACUGGAAUUCAUGGUGUAGCAGUGAAAUGCGUAGAGAUCAUGAGGAAGACCAGUGGCGAAGGCGGGUCUCUGGACAGUUCCUGACACUGAGACACGAAGGCCAGGGGAGCAAACGGG